rnacentral:sRNA from 2 species
CUGAAAAGAAUGCCUAAUCCCCGUCAGGGGAGCCGGGGAACCAUACAGCGUUUUCUGGGGUUCAUCCUCCGCAAGAGCGCCGCACACCAGAGUGUGGGGCGUGGAGUGGGGGAGGGAAGCUUCCGCUCCCAACCCGUCAGCUAACCCGGUAGGCACAAGGAAGAUCUGGA